UACGUAGGGUGCGAGCGUUGCCCGGAUUUAUUGGGCGUAAAGGGCGCGUAGGCGGCCACGCACGUCCGUUGUGAAAUCGCCCGGCUCAACUGGGCGGGGUCGGCGGAUACGGCGUGGCUGGAGCAAGCUAGGGGGCAAUGGAAUUCCCGGUGUAGUGGUGGAAUGCGUAGAUAGUCGGGAGGAACACCAGUGGCGAAGGCGGUUGCCUGGAGCUUUGCUGACGCUGAGGCGCGAAAGCGUGGGGAGCGAUCCGG
rnacentral:rRNA from 1 species